GACGAACGCUGGCGGCGUGCCUAAUACAUGCAAGUCGAGCGCAGGAAACUGACGGAACUCUUCGGAGGGAAGGCAGUGGAAUGAGCGGCGGACGGGUGAGUAACACGUAAGGAACCUGCCUCAAGGAUUGGGAUAACUCCGAGAAAUCGGAGCUAAUACCGGAUAGUUCAUCGGACCGCAUGGUCCGUUGAUGAAAGGCGCUCCGGCGGUACCUUGAGAUGGCCUUGCGGUGCAUUAGCUAGUUGGUGGGGUAACGGCCCACCAAGGCGACGAUGCAUAGCCGACCUGAGAGGGUGAUCGGCCACACUGGGACUGAGACACGGCCCAGACUCCUACGGGAGGCAGCAGUAGGGAAUCUUCCACAAUGGACGAAAGUCUGAUGGAGCAACGCCGCGUGAGUGAUGAAGGUUUUCGGAUCGUAAAACUCUGUUGUAAGGGAAGAACACGUACGAGAGGAAAUGCUCGUACCUUGACGGUACCUUACGAGAAAGCCACGGCUAACUACGUGCCAGCCGCCGCAGUAA
rnacentral:rRNA from 1 species